GAGGAUUGCAUCACUGAUGAUUCUGCCUGGCAGUAAAUUAAAUAAGAUACAACCCAAGUUCAGGAAAUUAAAUUAAUUAUAAAGUUAUUCCUUUGGCUGCUCUGAAGUCUUCACACACAGUCAUUCCAAUGGAAAGUUGGACAAAUGACAGCAGCAGCACAGUUAAGACCUGGAGUAUCCUUUUAAUAUUCCAUUGGACCAUUUCCACAACGAUGUCCUGCUGUUCCCCUGCAGGGAAAUUUGAUGGAUCAUACAGUACAGCUUCAGAUGUCUGAUCAUUUCUUUGGAUGUUUUAAAAUAAUCCAGAUUCACUUCUCCCAUGUGAUUCAUGACCGUUGUGCAACUUCUGUUAAUCCUGAGGAAGAAGAAGAAGAAAAACAAACAGUCCUCAGGUUAGAAGCUGUCACAAAGAGCAGGAGUGCUACUGGUGCCUUGAGGGUCCUAUUUUGGCAAGGAAUUGAUAUGGUGUCACCUCAGGCUCUGCAUCAAAUACCAGAAACCCCAAGUCUUGGCACAUGGAGCAUUUUCAGGAGAAGAAUUGCAAACAGAACAGAAAUGUGCUUCUGCCACUGUAUGGUUCAGAGUAUUCCUGUAAGGUGAAGACGGAGAGGACAAGUUUCUGGUCUCCCAGGCUGCAGCAAGGAUGCAGUACACCCAGAAGGGCGUGAGGAGGAAGAGAAGAGUGAUGAGAGGUUGUGGACAACUAGCAAAGAAAUGAGGAAACAGCCACAGCGGGACUCUGCAGUGCUGUGAGGUGACCUUCUUCAGGUUCACAUCUUUAGGUGUCAACAGUCUAGAUUUAAAGAUGAGCCUUUGGAGCUGCAGCUGACAUAAACCACUUGAAAGUCUGGCCCAAAAUGUUUGCAUUUACAACAAAGCAUUAAAAUUAAUAUUGAUUUAAAGAACUAAUUAAAAUACCAGAAAUCCUUAAUGAUAUCAUUUCCUUUCCUCGGAUUACAAUAGCUAAUGUAUGUUUCUCAUUAAAAAAGCACUGUGUAUGCAGGUAUACUGCAUAGGACAGAAAUGAAAAUGGAGAUGGAGCUUUCAGGGUUCAGGAAAUUAUCCUACAGUUAGUGGCACAGUACCUUCUCUUCUUCCUUAUUCUGUAUUCUGUCUGUGCUGUACCAGUUACACACUGAUCAUUUGCCUGUGAUCGUGUUGCCUCCAGUUUGAGAUAACAGAGGAACACAUGGUAGAUCAGAUGGAGAGUUUGCUCAAGAAUUUAGCAUGCGAGGAUAACUGUGCUGCAUCUUGUUUUCCCCACUGAGAGCUUACUGUGUUACUCCAUCUUCAGUUCAUAUUAAAGCACCACGAAUGCUCUGCAGUGUAGUGCCUUACACUGUUCCCGUUACUGCAGGCUCAUGUCCCUUCCAGUGCUGUACUAAGCAGCAUGAUGAACAUCUGUCACAUGUUGGCUCUUUCAUCUUCCCCGCAGGAGGACUGUUCGCAAAGGAGCGGUUUGUUUUGGAUUUAUCUUGAUCUGUACCUACACAUAUCCGUGUGCAGGCAGACAGGAGCACACAUGCCUCACUGAGCAUUUGUUAAAGGACACGGAAUCAAAUCAAACGUCCCCCCUACUUAGGCUGGAAGGUAGUGAUGUUGGAUAUGUUUUGUACUUUCUGUGGGAGCUCACUGUGCAGUGUUACAUUACUGUGCAAGAAAGCUAUGACAAUGAGCAGAAAUGAAACAAAAAUCUUUAUGCCCUGUCUGCUGUGGGAGAGACAGUAGUCAGGCUCACUGCUUUAACCUCACAAUUCUGUAUUUUAUUUUGGUGUCAAUUUCAUCACUUUUUGAUCAGUGCUGAGAAUAUAAAAAGGAGAGUAAGAGUGACCGUUCAGUGAAAUUAUAGAACAUUGAAAAGGUCACAGGAAUACUGUUUACUGUUAUCUUUCAGAGAACAUGGGACUAUAAAAUUGCAAUGCCUCAUUCUUGUGACAAAGAUUGUAACAAGGACAGAAAGACCUGCAUAAAUUUAGUCUUUUGACAGUGACAAUGAGAGUAGGAAAUAGUACAAUUUAAUCCAUUUUUGUUACAGCUUUUAGAUUGUAAUCAGCUGGUUAAGAGCCAUGAAGUUUUAGAUGACUUUUAGUUUCCUUCAAGUGAACUGACAGUUGUUUUAUGACUAUUUCAAGGCAACUUUCAAGUGCGAAAGUAUAAUAUUUUAUUUAUUUUACUGUAGUCAAAAGUCUGGUGAAUUUAUUACGUUGAAACUGAAGGAUGUCUGAACUCGUCCUGAUCAGUUAUUUACUCUUAGCUCACAGAAGGAGCAUUUCCCAUACUUCAUUUCUUAUACUAACUGAAGCGAUGAUGCAGCAUGAUUAUUUCAAAAGCCAUCAGGCUCUGGCUAUCUAUUUUUAUGGCCUCGAGUACAGCCAUCUCUGGGUUCUUCAUAUGCUAUGCCAGCAGAGCUUUUGGUUAUUGUUAUGGAUGAGCAUUAGACUGCAGAAUGUGAAAUGAAAGCACAGCUCGGAGGGUAUUUGGGGAAAUGUUAUCUGCUAUAUGCCCUUCCUAAGGCAUGGAGAACAUGGACAUUUGCUGUAACUCAGCGAGGCUGCUUAAGUUUGUAUAGGAUCCACCCUCUUCCACCUACAUUAACUGUCUUAAAUAUAUUCUCUGUUUGGAUUCCUUCUGUGUCUGAUGAAGGCAAAGAGGCACCUCCUAAUGGGCACUGCAGGUAUCUGGUGCGUAGCCCAUGUGAUUAUUCAGGUAUCUCACACAGUAGAUGCUAGUCUUUUAGAUGGCUACAUUUAGGUGAGAGGAGUAUCAAUACAGAGGAUACAAUUCAUGUCCUACUUUGUAACUUAGUAAGAACUUGGAUUGGACAUUACAUGUUAUAAAUUCCGUGUUCAGUUCAAACUAAAUUCAUUCUGUCUGGUACCUUUGAGAAUGAAUUGGAGCGCCCCCCUUUUUAGUAAAUUUCAUUGUCCAUGAUGGAAAAAACAUCCUGCUAUUGUAAUCCUCUAUCUGUGAGUCCUAAACUCUCUAUAAUUUCUGUUUGAUAUAUCACAACAGACCGUAGACUGUUUUUCAGUACUAGAAAUAGCAUAGUAGGAGUCAGAAGUCUGAGUCUUAGACAAAGAUUCUGUUUUAAAACCACUGAAUUAAAUACUGCUAUUUAUCCUACAGAGCAUCAGAUCAUUAUGAAGUAACAAUCAGAUACAGAGAGGCAGACUGGAGUGUGUAAUGGGAAACCUGGUCAGUGUAACAGGCAAUAGUCAAACUGCCUAACUGUUAUCCUGUGAGAUUUUUGUGUUGUGAAUCCUGAAUAACAGGUGGGUUUAGGAACAGUCAUGGAGGAGGAGGAGGAGAAGAAGAAGACCUUGGCUUUGUCAGAGCUCACUCAUGUGGAGCUCUUCUUCUGCCCAACAGAGCACUAAGGGAAGUCAAAGUCUUUGCUUCAAGAUGUGACAAGUGGGUGAUGGAGGAAUUGUAAGCCAGCUGGUGGCAACAACUGGCCUUCUGAUGCUGACUAAGGGAUGAGAGAACUUCAGCUGUGUGCAUAGAUAGCAAUUAUUAUUAUUAUUAUUUUUUUGCUUUCAGUUUGUCUCCCCUCAUUCAUUCCACUUAUUAAAUUUAAACUUUCAACAUCUUUUUGGAACUAGAAAUUUUAAAUUAAGGAUAGCUUUUUUCCUGCUGCUUUAUUUUCUUAAACUACGUCUAAUUCUCAGUUGUUUUGUAAGGGUAUUCACGUAUCUAAUAUACUCUCAUUCAUUAAGACCAUCAAGCUUUGAAUUAAGAUUUAAAAUACAGUUGUUUUGGAAAGGGAUAGUGAAAUACUCCAAAUUUCUUAUCUAAAUCCUGUUUUUCAAACUAGGUGGCAGAUAGUAUGUAUUUGAUCAGCAU